rnacentral:rRNA from 1 species
AUUGAACGCUGGCGGCAGGCUUAACACAUGCAAGUCGAGCGAGCGGCGGACGGGUGAGUAAUGUAUGGGGACUGCCCGAUAGAGGGGGAUAACUACUGGAAACGGUAGCUAAUACCGCAUACUAUCGGAUAACCCAUAUGGGAUUAGCGAGUAGGUGAGGUAAUGGCUCACCUAGGCGACGAUCCCUAGCUGGUCUGGGAGGAUGAUCAGCCACACGGGAACUGGGACACGGCCCAGACUCCUACGGGGGCGGCAGUGGGGAAUAUUGCACAAUGGGCGCAGGCCUGAUGCAGCCAUGCCGCGUGUAUGAAAAAGGCCCUAGGGUUGUAAGGUACUUUCAGUCGGGAGGCGUUACCGACAGAGAAAGCACCGGCUAACUCCGUGCCAGCAGCCGCGGUAAUAC